GGACGCAUGGUCCAGUGGUCCAAGACAACUCAUGGUCUGUUAAAUGUUCUCUGCGUAGUUCUAGGUCAGUUGGGUCUUUGUUGUACUGCUACGGUCGUGCUGCGAUGAUUUCCUUGGCUUCAGGUUCUAUGUAAGAGUCAUUGACUAGUGUGAUGUAGACCCAGGUUCGACUCCUGGUGUGUCCA